rnacentral:rRNA from 1 species
AAGGUCAGCAUGCAGAUCCAAUUUUCUGCCACCGAAUACAUUAGCAUGGGAUAAUGGAAUAGGACCCUGUCCUCCUAUUUUCAGUUGGUUUUGGCAGCGCGAGGACUAGGGUAAUGAUUAAUAGGGAUAGUUGGGGGCAUUAAUAUUUAAUUGUCAGAGGUGAAAUUCUUGGAUUUAUGAAAGAUUAACUUCUGCGAAAGCAUCUGCCAAGGAUGUUUUCAUUAAUCAAGAACGAAAGUUAGGGGAUCGAAGACGAUCAGAUACCGUCGUAGUCUUAACCAUAAACGAUGCCGACCAGCGAUUAGGAGACGUUGAAUACAAAACACCACCAUCGGUGCGGUCGUCCUUGGCGUCGGUUUCGGCCGGCGCGGGGGCGGCUUAGCCCGGUGGCACCGGUGAAUGACUCCCUAGCACUUUUGUGAGAA